CAAUUCAAUAAGCGGAGNAAAAGACCCANCAGGGAUUGCCUCAGUAACGGCGAGUGAAGCGGCACAGCUCAAAUUUGAAAUCUGGCCUCUUUGGGGUCCGAGUUGUAAUUUGUAGAGGAUGUUUCGGGUACCGCCUCGGUCUAAAUUUCUUGGAACAGAAUGUCAAAGAGGGUGAGAAUCCCGUCUUGGACCGGCGGUAGGGCCCAUGUGAAACUCCUUCGACGAGUCGAGUUGUUUGGGAAUGCAGCUCAAAAUGGGUGGUAAAUUUCAUCUAAAGCUAAAUAUUGGCCAGAGACCGAUAGCGCACAAGUAGAGUGAUCGAAAGAUGAAAAGCACUUUGAAAAGAGAGUUAAACAGUAUGUGAAAUUGUUGAAAGGGAAGCGCUUGCAACCAGACUUGAGCGCGCCGGUUCCCCUUCCUUUUGGUUGGGUUACUCCGCCGUGUCCAGGCCAACAUCGGUUCUGGGGGUCGGUUAAAGGCCCGAGGAAUGUAUCUACUCCUUCGGGGGUAGACUUAUAGCCUCGGGUGUCAUGCGACCUCCCGGGACCGAGGAACGCGCUUCGGCUCGGAUGUUGGCGUAAUGGUUGUCA
rnacentral:rRNA from 1 species